UAUUUAUAUAUCAAUUAUUAAAAUGGAAGCAUAUAUCAUACAUCAUAUUAUAUCAUGUCAUCUAACAUUAUAUAAUUCUAAAUAUUUACAAAAUCAAAUUUAAUAAAAAACACUUUAGCAAAUCAUUUGUUAAAACAAAAUUAUAUAUAUUUACGUUAAAUUAUUUUUUAUUACAUUAAUAUAUUAGAAGUUUCAUUCAUCUCUUAAAAUAUUAUUGAAGAUUAUUUUUUCCUACCAUGUAAACCAAAUGCCGGGUCACACUUGAUUGCAUGUCUUUUCGAAGCUUGCAUGCUUUAAAUUAACGAGUUUUCAUUAAAUCUAAACCAGCUUAUGUACAAGUCAUCGUGUUUACUGGUUCGACGACGGGUCCAAACUUGAUAUAAAAGUAUUGUUCUCAUCUAAUUGAAAAUAAUUUAUUUUAAAAUAAUAGACGCAUUGAGUCUGAUCAAUCAAUAUUUUUUUUUUAAAAGUAAUCAAACGAUUAAAAAUAUAAUUACAUAAUAAUAAAUUUUUUUGACAUAAUAAAUUUUGUAACAUAAUAAUGUAUAACAAGACUAAAACACUAAUUCAUAUCAUAUAUUUUUAUCAACUGAAAAAUAACCCGCGCUUUUAAGCGCGGGUCAAAAUCUAGUAUAGUUAUUAUUUUGAACUUUGUAUUCUGAACAACAACAAAUUCUGAAUUAUAUGUUUGUGUGAAUACAUAUUUCCUUAAAAGCAAAAAAAAUAUAUAUAUUUAAUGUAAUAUUUUUUUUUCUUAUAUACUAUAUUGACUUAAGGAAAUAUGUAUUCACACAAACAUACAAUUCAGAAUUUGUUGUUGUUCAGAAUACAAUGUUCAAAAAAAAAUAACUAUAUGGUUAACAUUUGAAAAUAAAAAUUGUCCCCGCACGUAACGCGGGUUAACUCCUAGUCUAUAACAAUAAAGUUAUCUUUUAUCCCUUCUCCGGCCUCCACAUCAUCAAAGAAAUAGGGGUAUUUUUUGACACUUGGCAUCAUAUUUGUAACUUUCUCGAGCUGCUUUCGGAUCUAUUGAUAAAUGAACUGGGUUUAUUAUUGGUUCAUGCUAUGGGCUCAUAUUUUUUUGUGAGGCCUAAAAGUCAUUAGGGUAUGCUUCCUUCCCGCUGGUAGCGCUCCAGCUUGGCUGUGCUUCUUCAAAUCUCACCACCUCCGAACUACGCCUCGCCUCUGUAACACAGCUUCCGUUUUUGUGUGUCUAUACCACUUCUCCCACUUUCUCGCAUUUACUCCGUUAAACCAUCCUUCCAUUACGUCUACCUCUCCACUCUCUCGCGUCCUGAUCAGCCCGAUACGACGGAGAACGCCGUCAAUCUUCGCUGCCAAGAUUUUACUGUUCCGCUUCCUCUCCCUUUGAUGUGUUUAAGAAAUGUAUACACUAAUGGUUUUCAAUCAACAUACUCACUACAUCAUCUUAAAUGCCUUUUUAUUUCUUAUCAAGCUCUCUUGGGGACUAUAUAUAUAGAAGAUGAGAGAACUUUCAUGCACAUCAUCUUCGUCCUUUCAGAUUACUGAAACCAGUCAGCGGAAACAAAGUUUGUCAAACUAAGAUCUGCGCAAAAGUUCCUCCAAUGAAAAAUUCUUAUGGUAAAAUUUAUGUGUGAUUAUUUUCCAAUAUGAUGUGCUCUUCUCAUGAAUUAGGUUUGUGAUUCUUAGCUUUUGUACUCGAACUGGUUUUGUGAAGGGUUUCUUCCAACUAAUAGUUGCCAAGUUACAAUC